CGGGUGAGUAACGCGUGAGGAACCUGCCUCAAAGAGGGGGACAACAGUUGGAAAGGACUGCUAAUACCGCAUAAGCCCACGGCUCGGCAUCGAGCAGAGGGAAAAGGAGUGAUCCGCUUUGAGAUGGCCUCGCGUCCGAUUAGCUAGUUGGUGAGGUAACGGCCCACCAAGGCAACGAUCGGUAGCCGGACUGAGAGGUUGAACGGCCACAUUGGGACUGAGACACGGCCCAG
rnacentral:rRNA from 1 species